GACGAACCGUCCAAACGUUAUUCGGAAUCACUGGGCUUAAAGGGUGCGUAGGCGGCGCGGAAAGUUGGGUGUGAAAUCCCUCGGCUCAACCGAGGAAUUGCGCCCAAAACUACCGUGCUCGAGGGAGAUAGAGGUGAGCGGAACUUAGGGUGGAGCGGUGAAAUGCGUUGAUAUCCUAAGGAACACCGGUGGCGAAAGGGGCUCACUGGAUCUCUUCUGACUCUGAGGCACGAAAGCUAGGGUAGCGAACGGG
rnacentral:rRNA from 1 species